rnacentral:rRNA from 1 species
AGAGUUUGAUCCUGGCUCAGGAUGAACGCUGGCGGUCUGCUUAACACAUGCAAGUCGAACGGGCUCUUCGGAGCUAGUGGCGGACGGGUGAGUAACGCGUGAGAAUCUGCCUCCAGGACGGGGACAACAGAGGGAAACUUCUGCUAAUCCCGGAUGAGCCGAAAGGUGAAACGAUUUAUCGCCUGGAGAUGAGCUCGCGUCUGAUUAGCUAGUUGGGGGGGUAAAAGCCCACCAAGGCGACGAUCAGUAGCUGGUCUGAGAGGACGAUCAGCCACACUGGGACUGAGACACGGCCCAGACUCCUACGGGAGGCAGCAGUGGGGAAUUUUCCGCAAUGGGCGCAAGCCUGACGGAGCAAGACCGCGUGGGGGAGGAAGGCUCUUGGGUUGUAAACCCCUUUUCUCAAGGAAGAAGUUCUGACGGUACUUGAGGAAUCAGCCUCGGCUAACUCCGUGCCAGCAGCCGCGGUAAUACGGAGGAGGCAAGCGUUAUCCGGAAUGAUUGGGCGUAAAGCGUCCGCAGGUGGCCGUUCAAGUCUGCUGUCAAAGCCAGGGGCUCAACUCCUGACCG